rnacentral:lncRNA from 1 species
GAAUCACUAGGAAUUAAUGCCUAUGCCUUUACUAUAAAUAAAUUCAUUAGAGCUCCAUUGUUAUUUGAAACCAAUUAAGAGAGGACUAAGCAACACACAACUACUAAUUUCCUCUACUUGAAUUUACCUUUUGUCUUUCCAUGGGAAGUGAUAAGCUGAAAAAAAGCUUUGGUGUUUUCAACAAUAUGUUCAAGACUAAGAUCAGGUCUAGAAGAGGGGACGAUCCGAGUGGGAUAUCGGAUGAAUUCAUGAAGGCUUAUAGAGUGUUUCCAAGCGAUGAAGAUAGAGGCCGAUGGAUAGCUGAGCCUGGUAUUGAUAGGAAAGCUUCUGCUUAUAUCGCCACAACUCAAGCAAAUUGGAACACUACUUCUUCUGCAGUUUCCAACUAGGCUAGGCCUAGGCUGCUAGCUUCUCUAAAUCCACUAGUUUCUACACUUUUUAAUAAUUGUAGCAUAUUUUAUAUAUAAUCCUAUGGUUAGUUAAUUCCUAGCUAGUAUGUGAAUUGUGAAAUAUUAAUGAUCAUAUGUAUAAGAAUUAUAUAUAUAUAUAUAUAUGCAAACAUUUAUUUAUAUGUUCUUAUAUCAUUCUCUUUUACUUUAGCUAGCGCUAGAUCAUAAAUAUGUUUGGAAUGUUAAGGUAUGUUUGGCCCUAUUCUGGAAUUGAGCGUCAAAUUUUAACUAAACUAAACUUCAAUUCCAUGGAAUUGCAUGUGGUUUAAACUCCAAUUAUGGAGCUUAGUAUUGAGUUGUCAAACAUAAUUACGCAAUUUUACACCAUGAGUGCAAUAGCUUUGCUAGUUAUAUGUACUGAAGAUUCUGGUAAAAAAAUUAUGACAGAAAUGCCACUGAUGUUGGAGUGCAUACAAUCCCCAUGAAAGGUGUCCUUUCAAGAUGCAUUCUAGAACACAAAUUGUUUCCAUACUCUAGCUGAUGUCACAAGGUUGAGUUUGGUCACCAAGCAAAAAAAUAGGUUGAAAUAUAAUAAUUCCCUAGCAACAUUAUAUAUAAUGCAUGGUUAAAAAGUUAUCAAAGACAGUCGUCGAAUCCUCCUCAAACCCUGUUAUUUGCAGGAGCCUUGUGAUCAUUUAGGUACGAACGAACUUAGUUGUAUACUUGUCAAGGUUGAGUUUGGACAUCAAGCAAGCACAAAAAUAGGUGAAAAUUGAUUCCAAGCAACACUGCAAUGCAUUGUUAAAAAGUCAUCAAAAACCUAUAUAUAUAUAUAUAUAUAUANNNNNNNNNNNNNNNNNNNNNNNNNNNNNNNNNNNNNNNNNNNNNNNNNNNNNNNNNNNNNNNNNNNNNNNNNNNNNNNNNNNNNNNNNNNNNNNNNNNNUUGGGUUUGGUCAUUAAGCAAGCACAAAAAUAGGUGGAAAUAAUCCCCUAGGUACGAACUUUUAUAUACUGACUCAUUUUAGAGAAUCCAAGAAGCAUUAUAAUUUGCAUCCUUAUUGAGUUAUAAAAAAGUUCAGUACUUAAUUAGGGAUUACUCCAUUCUCUGAUGAGGAUCACUAGAUUGGAAGAUUCUGAAGUCUAAAUAUGUUGUAACCACUUAAUAGUUAAUACUGAUACCUUUGUUUGCACAAAUGCUUUCCUUUCGGGUUCUUGUCAGAAUAAUUUACUGCUUGGUUCCGAUAGAUUAAGUUGGAACAAAAGCAGUGCACUAAAAUUAAAAAACCAUCAAUUACUAUUAUCAAUGCAUGAAAGCAGUACUAGCUAGUGAGUAUUAUUAAUGAAAGUACCAUGUCAUAAAAUCUAGCAGACUUCUCAAAUAAGUACUACUAAUUUUACAAGUCAUUGGGGAUUCGCCGGGCCUUUUUUCCACUAUGUUUUCUUCCCUAAAUAGUACUUCGAUCAGCUUUUGCUGAUACUUAACACAGUGCAGGAGGACAUUGAUGAAUGGUUAAAAAUCAUGUAUACCAGCCUAAAAGUUAAGUGUCACUUCUGGUUUGGUUUGCCUUUGCCCUUUGUUAUAUAUAGCUGUACUCAAGGAUAUAUAAUCACCAUUAAAUCUGAUAUUGGGUUUUAAUUCCAUAUUAUUUUGGUUUCUGUUUGAUGCUUUUUAUAUACAUGUAUCUUUCGGUUCAUAUGGAGGCUUCUGCAUUCUUUAAACCUGAAUGUAUCUUUGUUUAUAUAUCACCCUUUGUUUUAGUGAACAAUAUCAUUUGUUUUAAUUAAUUAUGUAUUCGGGGUUCAGGGUUGGCAGUCUGUAAGUUUAUCAUAAUUCCAUUUAGUUCUAUGUAAAGCCACAUUAAUUCUUAACUAAUAAACUCUUUAUAAUCAUUUUUUUCUACUAACUAAAUGGGAAGAAACCAUGUGUGGGUGUUGGAAAACUUAAUUAAUUAGCACUCAGUGAAUUUUAUCUAUUUUAUUUUGCAGGGGCGUGUGCACCGGGUAUAUCCCCUGACCUGAAAGUACCUCUAUAAAAUUUCGAGCCCGCCCUGACCUGUAUCUACUUAGAUGCACUUAUCAUGAUGCUCAAUAUAACUUUAGCGGUUAAAUACAGUUUACUACAUUAAGUAUUAUUUAUGAUUAGGCUCCUAAAUAAUUUGGGCUUACACUUUACUACAUCAAGUGUUUAAUUAAUUAGAUAUAAUUUAGCCCUUAAUUUUUGAAUUCGGAAUACCUAAUUUUCCGACCAGAUAAGAUUUGUAUACGGUUUGACCGGGGCUAAUAACACUUAUGUUACAUCAAGUACCACCAAAUUCGCAAUUACUACACCAAGUACAUAAUUCGUAUAAAAUUUGUAUAAAUACUUAUUUUAAUGUAUUAAAUCUGUAUAAAUCCUUACAAAUAAUUAUUAUAUGUUAAAUUAUUAAAAUUAAAUAUUAAUACAAAGAUUGUCAAAUAUAUUCUUUUUUAUUUUUAAAAAGACUUAAUUACAUAAAAAACCAAUAAACUUUUAAACAUACAAAUUAUAUUUUUAACACGAAUAACAUUAAACUUUUAAACAAUUGAUAUAAGUGUCCAAAAUUUAAUUAAUUAAAUAAUACCAUUUUUAUAUUGGAAGAGCAUACAAAUGGAGGAGGAAAAAUUGAAAAAGAAAAAAAAAGACCCAUUUACUCGAUCUCUCCUCUCUCCCUCUUACUUACCUCUCCUUCAAAUUUGAAAAUUUCAGCUUCUUGGAUUUGAAAAGUGAGUUGUUUUUAUUUAGUUAAAAGAUUGUUCAAACAAAAUAGUAGUUAAUUAGUUUAUCCAAAAACACUUUCUUUCCGUUCGUUUUUAAUUCAUUUUAUUCUUCAAAGAGGCAGUAGUUAAUACAUAUAUUGUAUUUAUAAUAUUUUUUAAAAUUGUAUCUAUAAUUUAACAAAUUGUAUGUAUAAAUUUUACAACUUAAAUCUUGCAAAUUAUAAAUUUUACGUCUUAAAUUUUACAAAUUAUAUCACAACUUAAAUUUUACAAAUUGUAUUUAUAAUUUUAUUUAUAAGUAUUUAUAAUUUUAAAUUGUAUUUAUAAUUUUAUACCGUAUUUCUACGGUAUUAGUUAUUUUUUUAAAGGGCUAAAAAUUAUUAUAUUUAUAAUUUUAAUUUUUUUGGGGGGGCCAAAUUAUGAAAGUGGUAACCCGAUUGGAUUUUUGGACGGGUCAAGUAUUCCGGCCAAUUUUAGUCUUUAGGGACCGAAUUAUGAAUUUAAUGGUACUUCAUGUAACAGCAGUGUAAUUAGCCCUAAAUUUAGCUACCCCCGGAGGUUAUGAAAGAAGAGUAUUAUUAUGCUUCAAAAGCACAUGCUUAAAAUAAUGUUUAUUUUGAUGCUUUGGUUGGUACUAGCUGCUGCACUUUGUUGGCUGAAGCCAUAUAGAUUGCUCAAAAUAAAUAAACUCCUACACUUAAUUUGUCACUAUCCUAUUAGAAUCAUUAUAGAGUGAGUACAAGUCAAGAGUGAGCAACUUUAUUUUGUUUUGUUAGUUCCACAAUCUACUGCUUUUGUUGGUAGGAAAUGUUUGUGCAAAAAUGAAGAAUAUAUGGCUUUACAAAAGGCUAUGAGCCUCAUCUUUGUGCUUUAAGUGGCUUAUGUGCCAUAUUUUUCUACUGGAUGAGCUAGAAAUGUAUAGUGACUACAGCAAGAAAUAUACUCCAUUAUCAUAGUGACUAAAUUAACAAGUAUAUUAAUAUAUAUGUGAAAAUAAUAAUAAAUAAAAAAUCGUUCCGUAGUUUGAAGUACAAGGAGCCAGCCAACCUCUGGUUCUAACUAGGGUUUAAUCUCCCCAAGAAUCCUUAAAGCUAUACAGCUUGAAAGCAAUGUUGGUAGGGAAGAUAUUUGAUUCUGAUGAAGACAAUGCAUGCAUUUAACCUUUCAAAAUAGCUGUCUCAAGGUUUCUUUGACUCUUUUUUUUUCUUUUUUUUCACUUUAAUCCCCUUAUAAUCUUUUUUAUUCACAUAUAAUAACAUUGAACUAGUUAAAUUAUAUGCAGCAUCUGAGAAAUUAGGUACCACACCACUGAGUUGUCAAAAGUUUAUAUGAUUUACUCAUACAAAAAGCAAAGAUAUGUUUUAUAUUGAUCUGUCAAUAGUUUAUAUGUUAGGUUAGUUAUAGCAUGGAAUAAUAAACAAACGGAAAUUGAUAUUUUCAUAUGAAAAGUGUCGCUUUAGAUGUAUAGCGACGAUGAAAAUCAUCGUUAGAAAACCGUCGCUAUAGGAUCUAUAGCGACGGUUUUCCUGUGGAAAUAUCAUUUUAUGUUGUGGAUUUAUCAUAUGUAAGAAUAUAACAUGCUCGAAAGUAUAAAAAAAAAAGAACACAAAAAAAAGUUGUGCCUCUUUUUAAAAUUUCUACAAACCAAUCUGUUUCCUUGUAGCCAUAAUCGAAUCAUUUACAGGAAAGUAUACAACUUCUAGAAUUAUUCCGGCUUAUCUAUCUCAAUUUUUCAUACAAAUACUAAUUGGUGUUUAGAAUUAAUGCCAAACAGCUGUAAUUAUAUGAGCUAGUUUGGUUUGUUAACAAAUCUUUAAAAGCCUACUUUGCUGAUUAUGUGUUUAAUUUCUUCGAACAGUAUGAAAGUUGAGUAAUAUAAUAGCAGCAUGUCAGCAUCAGCAAAAAGACUCAUGCCCUUUUCCUAUUAUUCCUAUCAAACAGUGAGAUUAAUGUUAAAAAUGCUAAUUAGCUUAAUUAAUUUUCUAUAGAACUUGUUUAAUUUCCAAUUGUGUAGUUAUUUACAUAUCUCCAUUUGCAAUAACUGCCUGUAUUCGAAAAGGAAAGAGAAAGAUGGAAAAGACUAAUCCAAAAAGAGCAUAAAAAUAGCAGAAAACACCCAGAAUUAAAAAUAGAAAUAAAAAUAAAAAUAUAUAGAUAUAUGAAGAUUUUUGAAUUAUCAGUUACUAACAAUACUAACCUUUCAGUAAUGAGUUUGUGGUGGGCUAAGAUGACCCAAGAAGAUACUAUUGGGUCAGUGGUCUAACGCUCUAUUUGGAUGAAUUUGAUUCGAUUCGGACUUGAGAUUUGACCCGAGAUUUGUUUCGAACUCGGGAUUUGACCCGGUUGUUUCAUAAACAUGCCACAAGGCUAGGUUUAAUUUGAUUGUUAAGCACAAAAUUAGGUGAAAAUGAUGUCUAAGCAACAUUAAAUUGAUUAAAAAGUCAUGGCAUUCAUGUUGAUCAAGUGAUAUCAAGUACUCCUCCCCUUUUUCUUGUUGAGGACUACUAUUACAUGAAUCAUGCUUUAAGGUCAAUAUAUAUAUAUAUAUAUAUGCUCUCUUUAGUUCACAAUAUGUACUAUGAAAUGUUGGUAAAAUUGAAAGAUUCUCAAGCCCAAUAAUAUGAUGUAAUUAUUUCCAGGUAGUACUUAUACCUUUAGGACUCCAGCCAUCCAUUUUUUUCCUUCUUGAAAAGAAAAUGCCAUUACCUUUGAACUUGCACAAAUGCUUUCUUAGAGGGUUCAUAGUGGAAUAGUCUUGUCAAUCUGAUAUUUCAGUACGUUGGAAAUAAUGCCGUAUUCCAAAGAAAAGACCAUCAAUUUUGGCCACUAGUGAUUAAAACAUAACUACUCACUAAUAACAAGAAUGAAUUAUAUGUAAAAAUGAAUCAAAGUACUAAUUUUAGAAGCCAUUGGGGAUUCCUCCUUGGUUUAUCCCUAAAAAAGUUCAGCUUUUGUUUAGAAGAACACAGUGGACUAGUGGAGGAGGAGGACAUGAUAAAAAGGCAAAAAACAAUAUAUGCCUGGCCAAAAAGUAACUGUUACAUUUGCUUCUGUUUGCCUUUUAUGUAGCUGUAUUGAGGGAUGGCAUUUAAGUUAGUAAUUGUUCCCAUAUUAUUUUUUUGAUUUAUGUUUUGUGCUUUAAAAUUUACAUGUAUAAUAUACUAGUACUAGCUGGGUCUCGUGCCUCUGGCACUGUAUGGACGGUGGGAUUUAUCUCAAACUUUGAACGGCUCAGAUGAUUUAUUGAGUGAGCGAAAAAUUCAAAAUUAUUUGUAUUUUAUUAGAUAGAUUGUGAAGUUUUGACUUCAAAAACCUCUAUCAAACUCUUUUAGCAUUGGCUCUUUGGGUACACUGGAGGCAAGAAUUAUACUCCAUUUAUAUUUUGCCUAUAAAAUGACCUGAAGUUUCUAACAUGUAUUCGACUACUAAAUUUCUACUUAAUGUUAAGGAUAUGUUUAGAAAUAUAUUAAGUUUAUCUAGAAAGUCGUCGUUUUAGAAAUGUAUCUAUAAUAUGAUUUAGAUCCGUUCUCUAGCUAUGACGGCUAGCACAAGCAUAUGUAAUGUCUACCCCCUGUCUCUUUGGUUAUUCCCCUAUGGUUAGGUGUAGAGGGCUUGCUUGAAAAAAGUUAAAGGUAUACAAACAUAAUAAAGAAUCUGUAGCAUUAUUGUGAAAGAAUAAAAAAAUGAGUCAUUUGCUAGCAAAAAUAGGCCUCAAAGAAUUUGAUUAAUUUUAUUUGUUUCCUCCAUCUUUUUUUGCAUAAAUUGGCAAUAAUUAGCGUUUAGAUUGCGAAAGAGAAAUUAUCAACUUGCCAAACAAGUACUUUACAUAUCAUUUGUUUAAUUUCUUCCUAAAAUUUGCAAGAUCCAAUAUAUUCCUUUUCUGAUUACCCAUUAAAGAUGUUUCAGUCAACUAAGAAACAAUUAAGUCCACAGAAAAAAUAAAAUUUCUCUGCCUAAGUUUCUUACAACAAUCAAGAAUAAUUUCAUUUCAUUUGAUCGACGGUCUUGAACCUUCUAGAUUCUCCACCAUUGGAUCAUUCCAACACAAAUACCAUCCCUCUAUAAAUACAUUGGAGCUUCAUUGUUCUUUGAAACAAAAGAGAGUACACAAAAAAAGAGGAAAAACUACUUUCUUUCUAUAUACUACUUGAGAGUAUUCCUUUUUGUGUGUUUAAGACAAUGGGUGGUAACAUUAAGCAGAAGAAGUCAUUUGGCCUUUUCAACAUGUUCAAGACUACUAGGUCUCGAAGGACGGAUGCAUUUGUGAAGGCUUACAAAGUGUAUCCGAGUGAUGAAGACAGAGGCCGAUGGGUAGCUGAGCCGGGCAUUGACAGGAAAGCUUCUGCUUAUAUCGCCACAAUUCAAGAAAACUGGAACCGUUCUGCAGUUUCCAACUAGACUACUUCUGCUUCAGUUCUACAUUUGUUAAUCGUUGCAUAACUCUUAUUGUUUUAGAGUAUGUUCGCUAGUAUGUAAAUUACAAGUGAUCAAAUGAAUAAUGCAAAGAUUUCUGCACAUGUUCAUCCUUCUUUUUUACUUUAGCUGCAUCAUAAGGAUGGUUCUGAUAUGAAACUUUGGCCUUGUGAGUUUACACCAGAAGUCCAAGCAUAACUUGAUUUUUAGCUGUGGGAGCUUGGUUCUGUUUCAUUUUCAAUGUCAAGCUCAUUGAAAUUUAUUUUUCAAAGAAAUUGAGUUCCCAAUAAUUAAGAAAGAAAAAUGUGAAGAUUUCUCAACUUGCAUCCGAUCCUCAGUGUUUUAGGAACGUACGUAUUAAGUUUACACCAUGAGUGCAUGUGCAAGCAAAAGGGUAGAUCAUGUUUUCGACAGAGGCAUGUUGUGUUCUUGGCUGAAUUUUGAAACUAUAGAAAAGGUCAUUUUGGAGUAUAUGUAUGAUUAAGACAUGCAGUGGAGAUACGUGUUAAAACUCCGACAGAUGCCUCUGUUGUUGAAGUGUAUAGAAUCCCCAUGAACAAGGGUGACUAUAUAUUUCUUCCCCAAGCAUUAUUCUACAUUCUUGUUGGAACCCAAAGCUUUUCUGCUUUAUAGGUUUCUAAUGUCCAUCAGCUCCAUCUUUUCCUUUCUUUUAGCUUUCCAACAUGUUUCUUUUCCUUUGUUAUGCUUGUAUAUUAGAGUUAAACAGGUCAUAAUAAUGCUAAAAUGCAAAGGGAAUGAUCCAAAACAUGUAAGCCAGAACACAGAAAUUUCGAUUCUUGAUGCCAGAGACUGAUCUGAUGACCUUGUAUAUGCCACAAGGUUAGCUGUAUUGAGGGAUGACAUUUAAGUUAGUAAUUGUUCUCCUUUUUUCUUUUUCCAUUUUUUUGUUUAUGUUUUUUGGCUUAAAAUUUACAUGUAUAAUAUGCUGUUGUGAAGUUUUGACCCCUCAAAAACCUGUCAUACUCUUUUAACAUUGGCUUUUUGGGUUCACCAGGAAGCAAGAAUUUUAGUCAAUUUCUAAAUUUGCCUAUAAAAUGACGUGAAGUUCCCAACAUGUUAUAACUUGUAUUCAAGUUAGAUCGAAUACUAUCAUUGCCGCCAGUGCUACAUUUCUACUUACGGUUAAGGAUAUGUUUGGAAAAAUAAAAUUUUUAAAAAAGUCGUUUUAUAAAUAUAUUUCUAAUUUUGGAACGAGAGGAGUAUAACAUUGAGUGCAUACACUACGUAAUGGACUAGUUUAGUGUAGCUAAGAUAUUUCAUUAUGGCUGCUAGCACAAGCAUGUGUAAUGUCUACCCCUGUCACUUUGGUUAUUCCUCUAUGGGUAGGCGUAGAGGGCUUGCAGGCCAAGCAUUGGUCAAAAAUUGAGAAAAUGGUUUUCAAACAUUAUAAAGAAUCUGUAACAUGAAACUGAAAGAAGAUGAAUCAAUUACUAGCACAUAUAGGCCUCACAGAAUUUGAUUCAUUUUUUUUUAUUUCCUCCAUCUUUUAUGCAUAUCUUGGCAAUAACUAGCAUUUAGAAUGCAAAAGAGAAAAUAGCAACUUGCCAAACAAAUACUUUACAGGUAAUGUGUUUCAUUUCUUCCUAAAAUUUGCAAGAAAGCUAAUAAUAAUUUAACCAAAACAUGUCACCAUCACCUAAAAUCUCAUAUAUUCCUUUUCUAAAAAAAAUAAAAUUCUUUGCCCAAGUUUUUUCCAACAAACAAGAAUAAUUUUAUUUCAUUUGAUCGAAGGUCUUGAACCUUCAAGAUUCUCCACCAUUAGAUCAUGUCUCUCUGGCGAUGGACCCAAAGUCUAAUAUAUAAAGACAUCAAGCUCUCUAACUCAAUACCAAUUGGUCAUAAGAAGAGUUGGCCCAAGUCAUUAUAAACGACAUAUUUUCUCAAAUUAUUUAAUGUGGGACAAGAUAUAUAUUCUAACACUCCCCCUCACGUGUAACCCGAUGUAUUGAGGGUUGCACGUGGACUUGAUGACCCACACAAGAUAAGUAAGCCUAGAAAAAGCUAGUCACAAGACAAACUCAGAAGAAAUCUAGUAAACCACGAGCAACUAUUAACCCAAUUGAUAAGUUAUACUAGUUAAGAAAUGAGUAACGGUAAGAAUGAAGGCUAAGAAGAGUGAAGAAUUCUAGUAAAUCACAGGUAACUAUUGACCUAGCUAAUUAAGAAGAGUCCGCUCAUAACAUGUUAGAUUUAUAAAAAGGGCCUAAAAUCUAGUAUAUAAAGACAUCAAACUCUCCAACUCAAAACCAAUUGACAAUGAGAAGAGUUGGCUCAAGUUGUUAUAAACUAGACAUAUUUUAUCAAGGUAUUCGAUGCGAGACAAGAUAUAUGCUCUAACAGUGUAAAUUACAAAUUUAACGAUGAAAUGAAUAAUGCAAAUAUUUAUGUUCCCUCUUUUUAGUUUUAGCUACAUUACAAGUAUGGUUCUAAUUCGGAACAUUGGACUUGUGAGUUUACACCACAAGUUCAAGCAUAUCUGCAGGGGAGUGCAUACCUUGAUUUUUAGCUGUGGGAGAUUGGUUGUGUUUCAUUUUCAUUGUCAAGCUCAUUGAAAUUUCUUUUUUGAGUUCAAUUCAAAGAAAUUGAGUUCCCAAUAGUUAAGAAAGAAAAUGUAAGGAUUUCUUAACAUUUAUCAGAUUCUCACUGUUUUAGGAAUGUAUUAAGUUUACACCAGGAGUGCCAGCAAAAGGGUAUAUGUUUUCGACAGGACUAAUAGAUGAAUCAUAUAUGCUCUCUUUAGUUUAACACACACUCACACACACACACACACACACACACACACACACACACACAUAUAUAUAUAUAUAUAUAUAUAUAUAUAUAUAUAUAGAAAUGUUACUUAAAUUUAAAGAUUCUCAAGUCCAAUAAUAUGUUGUAAUUAUUUCCAGGUAGUACUAAUACCUUUGAGACUCCCGGUAGGACCUCUCAUCCCUAGCCAUCCAGUUUAUCUUUUGUGUAGCUGUAUUGAGUGAUGAAAUUUAAGUUGGUAAUGAUUCUCCUCUUUUUUUCUUCCUAAAAAGUCGUUGUUUUAAAAAUGUAUCUCUAAUUUUUUGAAACAGAGGGAGUAUAACAAUGAGUACAUAUAUACUAUGUAAUAGAUUAGUUUAGUGUAGCUUAGGAUAUUACAUUAUGACUGCUAGCUCAAGCAUGUGUAAUGCCUACCCAUGUCACUUUGGUUAUAUUCCCCUAUGGUUAGGUAUAGAGGGCUUGCAGGCCAAGCAUUGCUCAAAGAUAGACAAAAAGUUAAAAUGAUUUUCAUACAUCUUACAAAUUCUGUAGCAUUAUAGUGCAAAAAGUUGAAUCAUUUAAUAGCAAAUAUAUAUAUAUAUAUAUAUAUAUAUAUAUGCCUCAAAAUUUUUUAUUCAUUUUAUUUAUUUCCUCUCUUUUAUGCAGUUCUUGGCAAUAAUUAGCGUUUAGAACGUAAAAGAGAAAUUAACAACUUGCCAAACAAAUACUUUACAGAUCAUUUGCUUAAUUAUUGCCUAAAAUUUGCAUGAAAGCUAAUAAGAAUAUUACCAAAACAUGUCACCAUCACCUCAAAAUCCCAUAUAUUCCUUUUCUGAUUACCCAUUAAAGAUGUUUCAGUCAACAAAGAAACAAUUAAGUCCACAAAAAAGUAAAAAUUCUCUGCCCAAGUUUUUUCCAACAAACAAGAAUAAUUUCAUUUCAUUCAAUCGACGAUCUUGAACCUUCAAGAUUCUCCACCAUUGGAUCAUUCCAACAUAAAUAUCAUCCCUCUAUAAAUACAUUGGAGCUUCAUUGUUCUUUGAAACAAAGAGAGUACACUAAAAACUACUUUCAUUCUAAAUUCCACUUGAGUUUGCCUUUGUGUGUCUUAACACAAUGGGUGGUAACAGCAAGCAGAAGAAGUCCUUUGGAUUUUUCAACAUGUUCAAGACUACUAGGCCUCAAAGAGGCAAUGAUUUGAGUGGGACGGAUGCCUUUGUGAAGGCUUACAAAGUGUAUCCGAGUGAUGAAGACAGAGGCCGAUGGGUAGCUGAGCCAGGCAUUGACAGGAAAGCUUCUGCUUAUAUCGCCACAAUUCAAGAAAACUGGAACCGAUCUGCAGUUUCCAACUAGACUACUUCUGCUGUAGUUCUACAUUUGUUAAUCGUUGCAUAAUUUGUUUUUUUUAAAGCAUGUUUCCGAGUAUGUAAAUUACAAAUCAUCAAAUGAAUAAUGCACUUGUGGAUAUAUGCAGAGGACAGCUCUUCUGUGUUAUUCUCUUUUAAUGUUUAUCGCGUGUGCAUAAUUUGGGUUUUAGCAGUGGGAGUUUGGUUCUGUUUCAUUUGUCAUUGUCGAGCUCACUGAAAUUUCUUUCCUCACAUUUCCAAGAGAGUAAAUGUAAAGAUUUCUAAACUUAAAAUCCGACCCUCAUUGUUUUAUAAACGUAUCAAGUUUGCACCAGGAGUGCAAGCAAAAGGGGUAUAUGUUUUCGACAGAUGCAUGUUGAGUUUUCAUAUAUCUGAAAUUGUAACUACAGAAAAGCAUAUGAUUAAGUCAUUUCUUUAGCAUUGCUGACAUGUAGUGGAGAUACGUGUUAAAACUCCGACAGACGCCUCUGAUGUUGGAGUGUGCAUAGAAUAUAUAUAUCCCCAUGAACAAGCAUUAUUCUACAUUCUUGUUGGAACACUAACCCUUUUUGCUCUAUAGGUUUCUAAUGUCCAUCAUCUCCAUCCUUUCCUUUAUUUUUGCUUUCCGACAAGACCAUCUUUUUCCUUCCUUUCUGCUUUCUUUUCCUUUGUGGUCUUGUGUUGUAUAUUAGAGUACUUUAGCAGUUCAUAACAAUGAUAAAAUACAAAGGGCAUGCGCCAAAACAUUCAAGCUAGAACACAUAAAUUUCCAUGCUCGACAUACGUCAGAAGGUAGGGUUUGAUUAAUUAUCAUGCAAAACUUAUAGGUGGAAGUAAUUUCCAAGAAAUAUUAUUUUCGUUAAGAAGUCAUCAAAGUCUAUUGGAACGUGGAUUAAUUUUCAGAAUACCUUCAAUGAUACCGGUUUUUACUGGUUCAUUCAAGACUAGAUGAAUUGCAUUAUUGACAUGAGUAAAUAUGAGGGACUCCUCCCUCAUUUUUUGUUGCUCUCUUUGCUUGCAACACUUUUACUAUGAAAUGUUGGUAAGAAUUUUGAGAUUCACAAUUAUAAUAAUAAUAAUAUAUUUUCGUGAGGGAGAUUUUUGUAUUAGUGACAAAAUCACCAUUCUGUUCCAACCAUGUUUUGGCCAGCAGUAUUGAUGAGUAUUAAGGAAAGCAGAUUAUAUGCGAAAAUUAUAGUUUUACAAGUCACUGGGGGGAUUCUGUUCAGUUUUCCACUAUCUUUUCUUGCCUAAAAAGUUCAGCUUUUGUUCAACACUGAUACAGAAACUAGUGGAGGGACCAAAAGUAACUGUUUUAUUUGGUUCUAUUUGCCUUUUUUGUAUUGCUCUAUUGAAGGAUGACCAUUAAACUAGUACCAUCUUUUUAUUUUUUUUUUAUUUUUCAUAUUGUUUUGGUUCUGUUUAGUGGUUUAAAUUCUACAUGUAUUUAUACUGUUAUGAACUAACCCCCCNNNNNNNNNNNNNNNNNNNNNNNNNNNNNNNNNNNNNNNNNNNNNNNNNNNNNNNNNNNNNNNNNNNNNNNNNNNNNNNNNNNNNNNNNNNNNNNNNNNNAUUUUAUGAUUUUCGUAAAAAAGUUUAUAUUAUUACAUUUCAAUUUUAAGGGCGUAGGAAAACCUCCGGAGGGGCAAUGACGAAAAAUCAUGCUACGUUUGGACUGAAGGAAUGAAAUGAAGAGGUGGAAUGAUUCACCCCAUGUUCACCCUCCCUCAAAGAACCAAACACAAUAUUUUUUAUUCUAUAGGAAUGAGUCAUUUUAUUCUCACCUUCAUUAUUCUAAUCCAAACGUAGCAUUAGGGUUCAUAGACUCAAUCAUACACAAUAAAGGAAAUAACUUAUUACCACCCUGUCACCUUUGGUUUGAAUUUUAAAAUGUAAAUACACCCUCCGUUCCAUGAUAAAAGUCCUUAUUACUAUUUUGGAUAGUAUCAUGUUAAAUGUCCAUUUUUCUUUAAUAACCAAACUUUUACACAUUUUUUCUUAUUAUGUCCGCAGCAUUAAAUAUCUCAUAUUUUUCUUAUUAUAAUUCUCUCCAUAUUUCUCACCUACAUCGAAAAUAAUUAAUGACAUUAUUAUGGACAAUUUUAUCAUUUUACUUUUCUUUUUAAUAUAUGUGAAAAAUCUAUCAGAACUUUUAUCGUGAGACGGAGAGAAUAAUAAGAGUUCUAUGAAUUAUACAUAUUAGUGUGGCUUUCACAUAGGUCCCAUUGGAAAGACUUCAAGCAACAAUGGCCCUUUUUUCCUUUUUAGGGAAACCAUAUUAGGGAGCAAGGGCUUCAGAUUCUUGAAUCUCCAUAUAUAGUAGUUGACAGACUUUUAGCAAACCUUGAUGGCCUAUAUAACAGUAAAUUUUGAAGGAAAAAAAAGGCAUAAAUAUCGAGCUCCAUUUGUCCAAUAGUUUGACCACCUUCAUAUAGGAAAUUUGUACAAAUCAAAAUGACUAUAGAAUACAAAGCAAUCACAUGUAAAACAACCCACUACUUGAAUGGAAUGAGGUUAUUUAGCAGCUCAGCAUCCACCACAGCAUCUUUAAGGCUGGAAAAUUUCGGAUCCUGAUCAAGCCAAACUAUAAUCAGUCCAAGAGUAUACCCCUCACGCUGCUCCAAAGCUCUCUUUCAAAAGCUGGUAAUACUGUUUUUGCUGUACAAAAGAGAGACGUCAUGUAUGUUAUAUGUACAUAUAAACGAGCACACACAAACAUGCAGAUAUAUAUCUUGAGCUAAUGGGUGCACAAAUGCAAAUAAGAGGAACCCAAACCUUGACUGACACAGAUGGAGAGAUCUUUUGCAGCGCCUGCUCAAAAUGUGAUGUUUUAAUAGUCAAGGGAGUGCCAUCCGAGACUUGUCGUGUGUCCAGUUUUUCUUCAAGAGCAGCCAUCGCAGCUUCGUUCAUCUAGCAGCAAUUAUAUAAACUGACAACUAAGCUAAAGAAUCAAGUGCGAUGCAAAUAAGCAUGCACACUAACAUGAAAGGGAAGGGAAAGGAUGGAGGCUUAAAAACACAUUGCAGAAAUAUAAACAGACCAGAUCAGCAAGGUCAGCUCCACUUAGGUUCUUGCAAGACUCAUUCUUCCCAAUGGCAAUCAAGUCCACAGUAGCAUCUAGUGGUUUCUUCCUAGCAAGAGCUUUUAAAAUCAAUCCUCGCUCAUCUGGACUGGGCAAAGGGACAUAGAGAAGUUUCCCAAACCUUCCAGGCCGUAAGACAGCACGGUCCAUCACCUCCGGCCUGCAAAUGUGUUAAAAUGACAAGGACGCUCAAGUAACAGAUAAGUUGAUAGUCAUUUUGAUCAAUACAUAAUUCAAGGAAAGAAAACGGAAUAAGGACUUGCACCUAUUAGUGGCACCAAUAAUAUAAACACCGCGCCGCUGUUCUGCACCAUCUAGCUCUAUCAGUAGCUGAAAAAUUAGAUAUUUUCAGAACAUACACAAUUACAAACUUCAUGAAGGAACUAUUACUAGGUUAGCAGACUCCUCAGACAUCUUGUAUUUAAUUUUACCUGGUUCAAAAGCCGCUCUACAACCCAUCCCCCUUCUUUUCCUCGUUUUGUUGUCAAAGCAUCCACCUGCAAAAAUUAAGCAACAUUAACAAAACAUCCUAAAAAACUUGCGGUUCUCUUACAAAAAAAUCAGGCUAUGUAGCUCUCAAAUCAUUUCAUCUUCACUUUCACUAACCUAUUAAAGACUGGAGAAACAAGACACUCUGACCUAAUGAUUUAUGGAAUGGGAAGAUAAUGAGGGAUUGCUCGUCUGUUUAGAAUUAAAGUACAAUUAAGAUAGAGAAAGACACCAAGGAGAAACAAGCUAUUUUCAGAUAAAAGUCACCUACGCAAAACAGAAACUAGAACAAUGAAUUACCAACUAAUGGAAAAUAAUAAACAAUGAAGUGGCAUUACAUUCUGACUUUUCAACAUCAGCUAAUCUACUGCUCUGGUUUAACAGUGACAGAGAGAUCAUUCCUAUUUCACACUGGCUAAACUACCUACUGAUAUGUUAAAUCAUCUACAAAUUAUUAAAAGAGUUUAGACAAUAAACGGUAGUAAGUUUGAUAACAACAAAUAAUAUUACUAGGAAGAACAACAAUUGCACCUAGAAAAUUAAAAAAAAAAAUUGAGUAGAUAAAACAACAAUAGCAACCAUCAGAGCAAGGAGUGACCUCAUCGAAGAAAAGUAUGCACGGAGAACAUGUCCUAGCACGACUGAAUAGUGUCCGCACGGCCAACUCACUUUCACCAACAUAUUUGUUUAAGAGUUCAGGGCCCUUGACAGAAAACAAUAGAAAAAUCAGUAUAAAAACGCAGUGGAAAUCAUCAUGUUGAAACAACAAAUUUUUGAGUAAAAUAAUUGAGGAACAAACCUUGAUGUGUAUGAAGUUCGCUCCUGCUUCAUUAGCAACAGCCUUGGCUAUUAAUGUUUUACCACAUCCUGGAGGCCCAUAAAGCAAAAAUCCNNNNNNNNNNNNNNNNNNNNNNNNNNNNNNNNNNNNNNNNNNNNNNNNNNNNNNNNNNNNNNNNNNNNNNNNNNNNNNNNNNNNNNNNNNNNNNNNNNNNGGGAGGACAAGCAGAAAGCAGAAAUACUCAAAAAUUAUUGUGCAAAUCAAAACCUUACACUUUUGGAACUACUAAUAACUUAUGACAAUUACAAUGAAACUGAAGUAAUGUAGAAUAGCGCCACUUCAACAUGCCAAACUAAAGAAAUUCAUGAUCAGGGGACUUCAUCGUUGAAUAUUAAGCUAAAAGAAAUUAUUAACAAGGACCCUCCCACCCCCCUUCAAGGCUUAGGGCAUAAUAGAGGGAGAGUUUGGAGAAUGAAAGUAAUGUACAUAGGAGGUAAUCUUUUGUACCGAGUAGAGAAGGGUAUCUAGUUGACUCUUUCAAAAUCCCUUCAUAUUACCUUGCCAAUAAUAAGUAGAAAUUACCUCAUAAUCCUCAGGAUGUUUUAUCCGCCUAACUAUAUAACGGUCAAACUCCUUCCUCAACAAAUCAAGCCCUCCAACAUCUUCCCAUUUUAUAUUGGGAAUAGCAGAGAAUCCUUCUCUUCUAGAAGAGGGUUGAACCAUCUUAGCUGCUUCCUGCAAAUAGUCCGUCAUACAGAAGGAUAGUAAACCACUCCAUUCAGAAAAUCAAUAAACAAAAACCAAAGAAAUCGGAGAAAACGUUAAGAAAUAAAAUAGAAUUUGUAAUCCUAGUCUGUAACAGGAUGAACUAUACUACUCCCUAUGUUCCACGUUUGAAUUUGUUAGGUUGAAAAACUUAUUUGUGGCACAGAGUUUAAGACAUGUUGACACAGUUUUAUGAAGUUCAUUAUUCUUCGUUUAAAAUUGUACUUUAGAUGCUACAGAAUAUUUGAGAAAAAAACUAUAAUGCAAACUAUUGUUUCUAUGCGUGUUAAAAUGUCUUAAAAUCUGUACCACAAGACAUUCAAAGUACAGCAGAUGAACAUCAUAGUCAAAAAUCAAUACAAAAGCAUCAAAAGUAACUAGAACAUGUGAUCUGUACAUUCAAUUACAAUUAUAUUUGCAUGAAGAAGCAAAAUACACAGCCAGAGGGAAAAUUACAGAACAAUUAUGAAAAUAAAGAAAAGGUUCCAGGAUAAUUACAAAAAGAGUGAAGACAGUUCUUGCAGGAUGAUACACACAAAUAUGUCAAUGGCUGACACUCAUUACAGAACAUAAAGGAGAAGUGAUUCAACUAGGGUUCUAAAAAUUCCCGACUGGAUAUCCUAAGACCCGGGUAGGCUCUAGGCGGCCCUGCCUAUAUUUGGUUAGGUACCUAGGCCUUUGUCUAGGUGGAAUUAGUCAUCUACCGCAUCGAUAUAAUGAAGGCUUAAACCUUUACAAUGCUUGACAUGAAUUAGUUAGGCCUUAUAAGAUUGUAUUUUGGUAAAUUUUCAUGCAAUAUCUAGAAUAUUUACUUCCACUAUAUGCUUUAUAUAUUAUAUACAAAUAUAGAAAGAUAAAUAUAUAAGACCUCCUAGGAAAAGAACUAUGUUAGCCAAGGGUAAACUGGGAAAUAGGACCAACUAAUAGUAAAUUCUAGUAGCUGUCAUAUAUAUGUAAGCACAUGGCACAUGGCACAUGGGAUAGUUAAAUAUAUUUGAAUGAAGGAUAAGAAAAGUAGUGUAGGUUAGUAGCUUUACUUUUCAACAUUCUCUCUAUAAAUAGUUGUCACUGAGAAUUAUUCCCCAAGCAUUAUGAAAUCAGUGAAUUAAUGAAUUGAAGAGAAGCUUGUUUAAGUUUUCUUCUUAUUUUCUCUAUCUCUCUUCUCUCUCACGAAAUCGAUAAGAAUUACCGAGUUUUGUAUCCUUCUUCCUACCAAAAUUAUCUAAUUCUCUAUAUCUAUCUCUGUUCUAUAUCAAUUUCUCUCUAUCUAUCUAUGUUUCUAUCUCUAUUCUUAGGUCAGGUAAUAACAGGGCCUGACAAAUUGGUAUCAGAGCUCAAGUCCUAACCAAACUCAUCACCUCCUUCCUCUAAAUCCCCUACUUUCUACCAUCUACAAACUUCUCUAUUCCAGUUCCAAAUUGAAAUCUAUCUCUUCUAUCCUCUUCUAUUCUUCAAACACCACUUAUAAUCAUCCCCAAUACAUCAUCAGCAACUCAGAAUCACAACUCCAAAGGAGCAGCAAAAAGUCAUCACGGAGGCCCUGUUUUUCUGGAAAAACUAUAACUCAGUAAAUCUAAGUGAUUAGUCACUUGUUUCAGGUAUUAAUCACUUCCUUCUUACUCGUUUCAGUCUUAUAGUAGUAGCUCAUAACAUAUUUCUCAUAAACAUCAAUACCCGAACAUGUUUCAAUCCAAAUCAGAUUAUGUGAUUUUACUUUGGUUUGAUCUGUUUUUAUUUGUGAUUCAGUGACUUAACUAACUUUGUUUAGCAUAUCUAACAUUAGUUUAGUCAUUCAAAAACCUAAGAACAUAGUAAUUAUAUUUUCAGUUGUUUUCCAACUCUAAAACUAAACAGUUUCUGCUAUAUUGUUAGCAUUAAUGCUUGUUAGUGCCUGGUAACUAGUGUUAGUAUUUAGCUUUGAUCCUUUGGUGCAUAUUUGUGUGCUCAUUUACUCAUUAAAAUUCAACUAAGCAACAGCUAGUUGGGUUUAAACCUUGUUCCAUUUCGAAUACUAAGUUUGUUUCACAGAGGAAGUCCAUUUCUCACAUAAAAACCUACUCAAGCUCUCUUACUCAUAAUUAGGUAGUAUUGCUACUACUUGAUCAUUUCUCACACUUAGAAUCACAAUUGUUUUGCGAUUCAAUUUCACUUUAUUUUUUGUAUUAUGGCUGAACCAUCACAAAUGUUGCAGCAGGACUUUCAGAGUUACAGAGAGUACAAAUGAGAAGUUGCAACUAAUUGAUAAAAAAAUUGAUUAUUUCAUAGUUUGGUUAAACUCUUUGGAGAUAAAAGAAGGAAAAAGAUGUCGGUUCACAUGGGCUAUAGAAGAAACAAAGAAUUGUUUGGAGAUCUCAGUCAUGCUGAGAAGUUAAGGGCCAAAACACAUGAAAAAGAUGAUGUCCAAUGGAGGUGGAUGAACAAUUUUGAUAAAGAAAAUGAAGAGGGGAAGAAACUCAAGCAUCUCUAGCUUGUGUUCCUAUCAUUCACUAAAGGUGAUAAUGCUAGAAACUGGAUUAAGGAAUGUGAAGAAGAAAAUUGUGAAGGAGUUCCUACAUAUGAUGAGUAUGAUGAAUAUAAGGGGACUCCAAUAUUUGAUGAUGCUAGAAGUUGGGUGCAAAACUAUGAGAAGACUCCAUGUUAUGAUGGUCCACCCACCAAUGAUGAACCACCACAAUAUGAAGGGAAUUAUUUAUUUGAUGAAGAGGCCGACUUCAUUGACAACAUUCAACAGUGUGCUACACAACCAAAAUCUGGAGAAGAGUUCUGGAAUAAUGAAGUCCCAUUGUUUGACAAUACUCUUGAAGUGGAGCAAGAAAUCAUGAAGGUACAAGGAGUGUCGGCACUUCCUGAAGAACAACAAAGAGUUUCCUUAGUAAGCGAGCUAUCAAACCAGCCCAACAUGAUGCAAAUCAGGCCAGAAAGUGCUGACAGAGUAGCCUACAUUUCAGCUCCACAAGGUCCAAAGAUUUAUACAUAACUUUUUGAGAAAAUGGGAUUCACUUUAGGUGAUGUUUGCCAUUGAAAAUAGUCCUAGUCCAAAAGUGACAGGUUUGCAUCUCUUGAUCCUUGGAGAGAUAAAGUGGAAAUGUUCAUCCAGAACACACUCAGAGAAAACUAGAUCAACAAAUUUAUUUCCCUAUGCCUAUUCUUAGUAUGUUAAAAAAAGUCAGUAGCCUAUUUCCUCAAUCCUAUAAUCACAAUAAGUCCACUAAAAGUUUUGCAAAUCAGCCUAUCUUCCCUUCCAGUACACAUGUAAAUCAAUCCCAGUUCCUUAAUAGUUUCACCUUCUCAAAAAACCUUAAAACAACUCCCCACUUGUCCUAUGGAAAUGCUUCAGAUCAAAGACUUAGUAGAAUUGUCAAGGGGAUUUGCUACAAUGAGUCUAGCAUGCAUUUCCUUAAUAAGAAUAUGGAGAAUAUUCGGAAUAGCUUUCUUUAAGGAAGCUAUGAUGAACAAGAGCACUUGCAUUUUCCUUAAUGUUGUUCUUGUUGGUGACUAUACUGGAAGUCCCCUGGUUCAGAAGUUACUGUAGGACAUUACAAAUACUAAGAAAUUUUACAAGAGCAAUGACUAUGGUGAGGUUGUUCAGGUUGAAGUUUUGACAGAUAAAAGCAAGGAAAAUGUGCUCUUGAACCAGGAAAUCCUGCCCCUUGGUGACUUCAGAAGAUACUCCCUAUUCAAGUGGAAAAUGAAGGAAAAUAGAACAACUUUGGCAACGCGUGAUACCUCCAUUGAUGCAGCACUUCUAUCUUGUGAAGUUUAACCCUCAAAACAGCAAAAAUGUGCACUUAAGGUCCAAGAAGCAGUGUCUUGUAUUUAAUUAUUUGAGGUAUAGCAAGAACUCCAAGAUAGGUCAGUUUGGGGUCAAAGUAGCUUUUGGAGAAUUGUAAGUAAAAGCAGUUUUUCUUUGAUAACAAGGAACAUAUGAAGGCUAUUACCAGCUGAACCUUCUUUAAACAGGUUCAAAUGGGGUAAAUGUCAUUUCAAUAAGAUGAGUUCAUGGAGUAUUUUCAUACCAGCUAUUGCACUAGGGAUAAGUGUUUAUACUAGUGCAUCAAAGAGGUGGAGCAGUUGGUGUGCAAAAGAAAGAAUAUCCACUGCUUAUGAGGGUAAAAGUUUCCAAAUUCAAAUUGGGGCAGAAUCUUUCACACAUCAUAUGUACUUCCAAGAUAUUACCUUGCAAAGAGUAGAUGUUUCUAGCAAGAAGUUGCAAAUGAUACAAGAUAGCAAAAUUGGUGUUACUAUGAAUGGAGAGGAUUCAUCCUUUGACAACUAUAAGUGGUCACUCUUUAAAUGGAAAAUGCAGCAAGAAAAAUGUGCAAAUGAACUCAAAGUUUCUCCAUUAAACUACGGGGUAUCCCCAGAAAUUAAAGGGGAACAACAGCUGAAAAUUCAAGAAAGAAAUUGUAAAGCAAGACUUUUCAUUGAACAUGUGGACUGGCCUUGCAAUAGCAAAGUUUUAAUAAGCAAACUCCAAAAGAGGAGGGAAUGUCAGGCCAAGGGUAAACUGGAAAAUAGGACAAAAUAAUAGUAAAUUCUAGUAGCUGUCAUAUAUAUGUAAGCACAUGGCACAUGGCACAUGGCACAUGGCACAUGGCACAUGGCACAUGGCACAUGGCACAUGGCACAUGGGGUAGUACAAUAUAUUUGAGUGAAUGAUAAGAAGAGUAAUGUAGGUUAGUAGAUUUCCUUUUUCUCUCUAUAAAUAGUUGUAACUGAGAAUUAUUCUCCAAGCUUUAUGAAAUCAGUGAAUUAAUGAAUUGAAGAGAAGUUUGUUUAAGUUUUCUCCUUAUUUUCUCUAUCACUCCUCUCUUACGAACUCAGGAAUUACUGAGUUUCUAUUCUUCUUCCUCCCAAAAUUAUCUAAUUAUCUAUAUCUAUCUCUGUUCUAUCUCAAUUUCUCUCUAUCUAUCUCUAUUCUUGGGUCAGGUACCAAUAGGGCCUGAAAACCUAGGCGUUCUCGUCUACAGUCUAGUUGCUCUUAGCAAUUUUUAGAAUACUGUAUUCAAGUCAGACGUGUAAAUGCAGAUAACAGAAAGCAAGAUACAGAACUAUGAAUUAAAAUUUAAAACGUCAUAGUGAGUAAAAAUAUUAAACAGAGUGCAGUGGGUAGUUGCAAGGGAAAAUCUUUUCUUAAUAUUACCUCAAAAUCAGCCAUAGUGAUGCUAAGGCUUUCCAUCUCAUCAGCGGACCAUGGCUGCUUCCACCACUCUUCAGUAUGUUCUUCAUCCACAGGUUCCCUAGAAAACUCAAACUUUCUUUUAUCUAUAAUUCUCUUCAUAGCAAGGUUGCCAGCCUUGUUAGUCAGUGCCGCCAAAUCAGCUCCAACAAACCCUGGAGUGGACCUAGCUAUUUUUAAAAGAUCAAAAUCACCUUCAAGUUUAAGCGUGCUUGUAAGCACCGAAAGAAUCUCAACCCUUGCAUUGUCAUCUGGAACACCUAAAAUAAUCUCACGAUCAAAUCGUCCAGGCCUUCUUAAUGCAGAGUCAACAGCAUCAGGCCUAUUAGUAGCUCCGAUUACUAAAACAUAGCCAGGUCUGCAAUCAGAACCUUCUGAAAUUGCAUCUUUCUCAGAUGGUCGUACAAGUCUAUGUGAUUCAUCCAUACAAGUCAUUAAUUGUGUCACAAUGCGACGCUCCAUCUCCCUCUGUAGAUUUUCCCUUUUUGAAGCAAUCGCAUCAAUCUCAUCAAUGAAAACAAUAGAUGGUGCAGUCCUGUAUGCUUUUGAGAAUAGCUCCCUAAUGUUCUCUUCUGAUGCACCUGAAAAUUUAACCGUGUGACCAUUAGAGGAUCAGCACAUGGAGAGUUGGAAUACAAUGUAUUGUUAUGUGCAUCCAAAUAAUUUGCAAAUAUGAGAUUCCUUCUUUUCUCCAUUUAAAUUAGCACAUUUUAAAAAGAAAAAUAACAUUGGAAAACAAUAAUCAACAUUUGGCACUAAGAAAUUUCUUUAAGAACAUCAAUUGCAGCCAAAUUAUCAAGAAUACAUAAAGCAUAGUAUAAAAGCUAAAAUAAUUUUCUGAAACCACAAAUUUUAAAGGUUUUAACCACUUGAUGGAAUGAGGUAGCUCAACUUCAUCUCCUUCAUCUUGUCCAUAACUAUACUUAUUUUACUUUAAGAAAAUAUCCCGAUAAUGCAAAAAGUUUUAAAUUAAGAGUAUACUAUGAAAGAAGUUGUGUCUAACAACCGCAGACACAUCCGGACAACCCGACCCUAACUUUAAGUAACCAACCAUGCUAUCCCCUAUCACAUAAGAAUUUUUACUGGUAGCGUGACUAGUAGCACAAGAGAGAAAAAUUGGAUGUAUCACGGUAUUCAAAAUAGCCCCUAUAGGGUUAAUAAAUAAAGGACUCAAUUUGGUCUUUCAUUGCAUCAUUCAAAAUAGCCCCUUUAGCAGGACAGGUCACUUAAAGAGUAUAAACUACUGUGCAUCCAUAUUUAGCAUUUCAAAAUAUGGAUUACCAAAAUAAGAUAUUGAUAAGACCAUAACAAUAUUAUCACUACAACUGCUAAAUGCAAGUUUAAUCAGCCAAAUUGCAAACAAUACAAAUAUGAAUUAAACCAUUUGCAAGCUAACAACAAAAAUAAAACAAAGAUUAAUAUACCCGAUACACCAGAGACCAAUUCAGUAGCUGAAAUCUUGUAAAAUGGAACCCCGGUCUCAUUUGCAAUGGCAUGUGCAAGCUUAGUCUUUCCACACCCCGGAGGACCGUGCAACAAAAUUCCAGACAUUGGCUUCACUCCGAGCAUCUGAGGCAACUGCGGAUGAUACAAUGGAACAAUCACCUCCAUUUUCAAUUCCUCCAGCACCCCAUUCAUCCCACCUAAGUCCCUAAACCUCGGCCCAUCUUUCCCCUUCACCUCACCGUCACAAUUACUAAAACCCCUUUCUUUCCCCAAUUUUAUCCCCACUCCUUCAUUUCUCCCUCCAUGGUCAAAAUUGAUCUUCUUAGUUACCUUAUCAUUCAUAAUCUCCAAUUCUACAUUCUUUUCCUCUAAAUCCUUCGAUUUCGCUAAAUUUGUUACAUUUUUUGAAUCGCUAUAACUCGAACGCAGCAUAGAUUUCAUCAAAUCAAACUCCGGCUCAAAUUUCUCACUGAAAAUUGCAUCUUCCGAUGUAGAAAUUGAACCAUCCUCUUCUUCAUCGGAUGAAGUUGACGUGGAAACUGAAGAUGAUGAAUUUUUGCCUCUUUGCCUACUUAAAAUAUGCUGAUUUUCCAUAUUUUGUAAUCUCUCUUCACUUGUAGGGAUUCUCCUCACUCUCUUACGAGCGGGAGUGGGAGUCCGGUCAUCGUCGUCAACGUUGGAUGUAGAUGGACGGUCGAGAUUGGUUGAUUUGGUACUGUCGGAGAGAAUUCGACCUAGGAUUUGUUGAACGUGUCUGGUGAAAGGUUGGAGCUUCUGGCGGUUGUAUUGCGGAAAAGCUGACCGGAGGUGAUCGACGGUUUGGUCGACGGUGGUGAAAUUGUUCUUAUAGGAUUGUUCUAUAUGACCGCGAAGGAUUCUUUCGAAACCACCUCCACCGCCGCCGCCUGGUCUUCUUCUUCCUAUGCCCUUCAUCGCGCCGGAAAAUUGAGUAAAUUUAGGGUUUUAGGGGUUGUAAAGUGGUGGAGGUAAUGGCACUGUUUCAGCUUUUUGGGUAGAAACCUUAUUUAAAAAAAGGAGCACUAUUUCCGCGACGUGAUUCUUAUACGAAGGUGGACCACUGUAUACUUAUAUGUUUUUAAAAGGGUUCUUUACUGAGCAAUUAGAAAGUAAUUGCAUGCACAAAAUAAUUAUAAAAAGAGUGUAAUUAAGAUUCAUAUUAUAAAAAUAGUACAAUUCACAUUAAUAAGAAAACUUAAAAUUAAGGAAAAAUAACUGUAAUAAUUAAUAAUUCAAAUUCAAAUAUUUGGGAUCUAACCACAAAAACAAAUUCAAAUUCAAAAUAAAAUGAGAGAAAAAUAAAAAAAUAUCUUCUUCAUCCUAAUCUUCAUCUCCCUCACCGCUCAUUAUCUUCAUCACCGCCUCCUCUCUCUCUUCCCCUUCAUCAUCAUCCUCCGCUGCGAAUCUCCAGAAGUCCUUGGUUGCGCCGCCGUUACAUCGCCAUCUCUUCCCCUUCAUCAUCCUCCUCUUCCGCCGCAAAUCUCCGGAAGUACCUAAGUUACUGUUAUGAUUUUUUUUUUAACGAUUUGGUUACCAACAAAAACUAAAAUGGUUACCUUUGUAUGAAGGUUUGGCUACCAACUGCAUCACAUUCAAAAUAAUUUUGUAACCUAAUAAAAUUGAAUUGAUUACCUUUGUCUGAAGGUUUGGCAACCAACUGCACGAAGGUUUAACUACCAACUGCAUCACAUUCAAAAUAAAAUUGGUAACCUAAUAAAACUGAAUAAGUUACCUUGGUAUGAAAGUUUGGUUAUCAAAUGCAUCACAUUCAAAAUAAAAUUGGCAACCAAAUAAAACUGAACGGUAUGGAGGUUUGGCUACUAACUACAUUAUGAAAAAAAAAAA